rnacentral:rRNA from 1 species
GCGGGCAGCUGGGGCCUUUGCCUGUGCCUCUGCCUGCCCAGUGACCGGGACUGUCCUCUCCCCACUGUCUCUGCUGCCUUCCCUCUGCCGGGCCCCUCCUGCCCCACGCGUUCCCGGCCUUCACGCCAGGGUGUGCCGUAUGCGGCUGCUCCUCCCUCAGGGCUGUUCUCCCCAGGUUCCUUCCAUCGGGCCUCCUUUGGAGACGGCGCAGUCUCCUGUGGCUGUGGUGGGUAGGACUGCACAUGUGCACAGCAUGCUGAGAGACCAGGCCGGCCCUGUCCGGUACCGGCUUUCUCGGCCAUCCCGCCUCUCAAACCUCUCCCACACCUGCACCCUCCCAUCCAGCUGUGACCUCAGAUUAGACUUGGUGACCUGCUGAAUUUAAGCAUAUUAGUCAGUGGAGGAAAAGAAACUAACCAGGAUUCCCUCAGUAACGGUGAGUGAACAGGGAAGAGCCCAGCGCCGAAUCCCCAUCCUGCAGUAGUGUGUAGGAAAUGUGGUGGUGUACAGAAGACCCACUCCCCAGUGCCGCUCUCGGGGGCCCCAAGUCCUUCUGAUCAAGGCACAGCCCGUGGAUGGUGUGAGGGCAGUAGUGGCCCCUGGUGCGCUGGGAGUGGGUCUUCUCAGAGUUGGGUUGCUUGGCAAUGAAGCCCAAAGCAGGUGGUAAACUCAUCUAAGGCUAAAUACUAGCACAAGGCCAAUAGUCAGCAAGUACUGUAAGAGAAAGUUUAAAAGAACUUUGAGGAUAGAGUUCAAGAGGGUGUGAAACCGUUAAGAGUUAAACGGGUGGGGUCUGUGCAGUCUGCCCGAAGGAUUCAACCCAGUGGGUUUGGUCAGCUGGCCUGGGAUGACAGAUCCCGCUCAGCCCCUCCCCCAGGGCAGGUGAGGACCGCCGCCUGGAUGGCCUCGGUCCUUGUUGGGCGCAUCUCCACCGUGGCAGUGCACCAUGACUGGCUCUGGGUUGACUGGGAAGGCCUGGCAGGCAGGUGGCUCACCGCUUUGUGGCGGCAAGUGUUACAGUCCCCAGGCAGCAGCUCUUGCUGCAUCCCAGGGUCGAGGGAGAUGACCGUCGCCACGCCUUCCCCCAUGGCUCCCCGUCCCCUCCUCCUCAUGGUGGGGGCCCCCUCGCCCCUGGUGCAACUGUCAAUCAGGGCGGACUGUUCUCAGUAUGCUCCGACCGUGUCGUGCUGCUGGGCAGGGAGGGCCAUGCUGGGCACCUGGGGUCUGCAGCGAUGUUGGCUGCCCACCCAACCCNGUCUUGAAACACGGACCAAGGAGUCUAACAUGUGUGCAAGUCAGAGGCUCGAACGAAAGCCCAUGACGCAAUGAAGGUGAGGGUCGGUGAGCACCAGCUGAGGUGGGAUCCCGAGGCCACUGUUUGCAGAGGGCGCACCACUGACCUGUCUCGCCCACCCCGUCAGGGAGGCGGAGCGUGAGCAUACGUGCUAGGACCUGAAAGAUGGUGAACUAUGCCUAGGAAGGGCAAAGCCAAAGGAAACUCUGGUGGAGGUCCAUAGCAGUACUGACAUGCAAAUCGGUCAUCUGACCUGGGUAUAGGGGCGAAAGACUAAUUGAAUCAUCUAGUAGCUGGUUCCCUCAGGAUAGCUGGCACUCACCCAUCUCCGCAGUUUUAUUUGUUAAAGUGAAUGAUUAGAGGUCUUGGGGCCAAAACAAUCUCAACCCAUUCUCAAACUUUAAAUGGGUAAGAAGCCUGGCUCACUGGUGUGGAGCCUGGUGUGGAAUGCGAGUGCCUAGUGGGCCACUUGUGGUAAGCGGAGCUGGUGCUGCGGAAUGAACUGAAUGCGAGGUUAAGGUGCUCAAUGCUGACGCUCAUCAGACCCCAGAAAAGGUGUUGGUUGAUAUAGACCUCAGGACGGUGGCCAUGGAAGUUGGAAUCUGCUAAAGAGUGUGUAACAACUCACCUGCCAAAUCAACUAGCCCUGCAAAUGGAUGGUGCUAGAGUGUUGGGCCCAUACCUGGCUUUUGCCGGAAAUGAGAGCCAUGGGGGCUAGGCUGUGAUGAGUAGGAGGGCCUCUGUGCUGGGCCUUGAAGCCUAGGGCACGGGCCUGGGUGGAACCACUGCAGGUACAGAUCUUGGUGGUAGUAGCAAAUAUUCAAAUGAGAACUUUGAAGGCCGAAAUGGAGAAGGGUUCCAUGUGAACAGCAGUUGAACAUGGGUUAGUCAGUCCUAAGAGAUAGGUGAGCGCCAUUCCGAAGGGACGGGCAAUGGCCUCCGUUGCCCUCAGCCGAUUGCAAGGGAGUCGUGUUCAGAUCCCUGAAUCCAGAGUGGUGGUGCCAUGAGGCGUCCAGUGCAGUAAUGCAACUGAUCCUGGAGAAGCCGGCGGGAGCCCCCAGGGAGAGUUCUCCUUUCUUUGUGAAGGGCAGGGGGCCCUGAAUCGGGUUUGCCCCAAGGGACGGUGAAAAGCAUCGCGGUUCCAGCAGCGUGUGGUGAGUUCUCACGGGUCCUUGAAAAUCGGGGGGAGAAGGUGUAAAUCUCAGGCUGGGCCGUACCCAUAUCCACAGCAGGUCUCCAAGGUGAACAGCCUCUGGCGUGUUAGAACAGUGUAGGUAAGGGAAGUCAGCAAGCCGGAUCUGUAACUUUGGGAUAAAGAUUGGCUCUAAGGGCUGGGUUGGUUGGGAUGGGGCACAAAGUAGAGCUGGGCAUGAGCUGUGGCUGGAUGAGGCACCUACUCCCCUUCCCAGGGGGGUGGUGGCAACUCUGGAUGCAAUCCGGGCCCUUCCUGUGGAUUGCCUCAGCUGCAGCGGGCUUCACCUGCCUCUCCUCUUCCACGGGGGUGGGGUGGGGGGACGGCAUUCCACCUCAGCCGGCACCUAGCCGCUGACUUAGAACCAGCGCAGACCAGGGGAAUCUGACUGUUUAAUUCAAACAAAGCAUCGCAAAGGCCUGCGGUGGGUGUUGACGCAAUGUGAUUUCUGCCCAGUGCUCUGAAUGUCAAAGUGAAGAAAUUCAAUGAAGCAUGGGUAAACAGUGGGAGUAACUAUGACUCUCGUAAUAUGACUCUAUUAAGGGAGGCGCCUUCCCUAGGGGGAAAUGGUCUGGUUACCCAGUUGCAGCAGGUUUGUGCCAGGUACCUCCACGUGGUUCUCACUGGGUAUCAAAGGCCUGUUGAUAGCUCAACCUUGGUACAAUGCAGCCAAGGAGUUUUUCCCAGGGACACUUCACUCCCCACCAGCUGCCUCACAAGCUCCUGGGGGUAACUGCCUCAAUUGUGAAAAACUCAAAGCCUGAUGGUGGGUGCUAGAGGAAUCUUGCUGAAACUUGUUGGUGCCUGCAGUUGUCUGGCAGGUGGGGUGGGUGAAACAUACUGGAACUGACAACCAGGCAAGGGGGAUAGCCCCUCUUCUAGGGGUGGUGGCCUGGAGGGCAGAAGACUUCUGUCCCCAUGCCUUGUGCUGAUAGAGGGGAGUCUCAGUGACCGGUGCAAGUGGAACUUGAAGGUUAGUCAGUUGGGUGCAACAUCCCGGCUGCAUGCCCAGAAAGGUGGGGGGUGAGGAUCAGGACUACUCACCUCCAGUUCUGCUGAGCAUAAAGCUAACCAGAACUGAUGAUCAGGCAAGGCGGGCUCACCCCACUUCCUGGAAUGGCAGCCUGGAAUAAUGGAUGGUUUCUGGCCCCCCCAUCUUGUGCUCACAGAGGGGAGCCUCAGUGACCGGUACAAGCUAAACUUGAUGGUUAGUCAGUCAGAUGCAACAUCCUGGCUGCAUGCCCACUGAAGCCUGUGACUACCCAUUCCUGAAGGCAUGAGGCAUGUGUACUGUUCCAGGAGGGAUGACAUCCUGUGAUUGGGACAGAACAGACUGAAGGGAAGCACUUGACAAGAGUGUUUCUGGCUACUUCCAGACUUGGAGUGGUGCUGUCCCAUUUGACAUACCCUAUUGCUCCCUUUGGGCAGCAGAAUUCAUCCCAACCUCUUACCCACCCAAGUCUGUGCUUUGUUCUGCUAUCCUGCAUUUCUGAUCCGCCUUGCUGUCUCCCCCUCUUCGCUGCAUUUCUCUCAAGUGGUUCAGUCUCGAUAUGAUUACCUCCCAUGCUUCUGAUCAGGGCUCAGGCCCACAGGACAGAUUGCUGGUGCAUGUCAGUCAUCACGAGACUACCAGACUCUUCGGUGGUUGCUAUAGUCAUGACUGCGUUGCAUGGGGCAUGCUGAGCCACUUAACCGAACAACACUAAAUAACCCAAAAAAGGUACUCUUCAGGGUUCGGUAAAGAGCCAAAUGCCUUGUCAUCUAAUUAGUGUUGCACAUGAUAACUGUCUUGUGGUGGCCAAGCGUUCAUAGCGAUGUCACUUUCUAUCCUUCGAUGUCAGCUCUUCCUAUCAUUGUGAAGCAGAAUUCACCAAGCAUUGGAUUGUUCCCCCACUAAUAGGGAACGUGAGCUGGGUUUAGACC